rnacentral:rRNA from 1 species
UACGUAGGGGGCAAGCGUUAUCCGGAUUUACUGGGUGUAAAGGGAGCGUAGACGGUUAUGCAAGUCAGAAGUGAAAGCCCAAAGCUCAACUUCGGGACUGCUUUUGAAACUGUGUAACUAGAGUGCAGGAGGGGUAAGCGGAAUUCCUAGUGUAGCGGUGAAAUGCGUAGAUAUUAGGAGGAACACCGGCGGCGAAGGCGGCUCUCUGGCCUGUAACUGACACUGAGGCUCGAAAGCGUGGGGAGCAAACAGG